rnacentral:rRNA from 1 species
GAUGAACGCUGGCGGCGUGCUUAACACAUGCAAGUCGAACGGAAAGGCUCCUGCUUACAGGGGUACUCGAGUGGCGAACGGGUGAGUAACACGUGGGUGAUCUGCCCUGCACUUCGGGAUAAGCCUGGGAAACUGGGUCUAAUACCGGAUAGGACCACAUUUUGGAUGGUGUGGUGGAAAGUUUUUCGGUGUGGGAUGAGCUCGCGGCCUAUCAGCUUGUUGGUGGGGUAAUGGCCUACCAAGGCGUCGACGGGUAGCCGGCCUGAGAGGGUGUACGGCCACAUUGGGACUGAGAUACGGCCCAGACUCCUACGGGAGGCAGCAGUGGGGAAUAUUGCACAAUGGGCGCAAGCCUGAUGCAGCGACGCCGCGUGGGGGAUGACGGCCUUCGGGUUGUAAACUCCUUUCGCUAGGGACGAAGCGCAAGUGACGGUACCUGGAGAAGAAGCACCGGCUAACUACGUG